GCUUGCCUCUUGUUACGAACAACGUUGCCAUCCGAAAAUAGGUCGCACUCACCAAAGCGGUUACCGGGAGGUUACAUAUGCCCUUAAAGACGCCGUUCAUUGAUUCCACAAGAUUUGUUGUCAUGUGGCCCCACCUCACCCCAUCGUCGUAUGCCUAGUCCACUUUGCUCUGUCAAUAUUAUCGAUCCACCUCCUUGCAUCAGAAUUUGCCAACAC
rnacentral:lncRNA from 1 species